UCCCCCGCCCCUCCCAGCACGUAGGAGUGACAGUCCAUCCAGCAGGGGGCAGUGUUACACACACACACACACUGCUCCCUCCCCCUCCCCCAACCUUGGUGCCAUUCUAACCUGCAGGGGGCAGCCUCACCCAGCUGCAUGCGCACUGCCCCCACGUAGACAUACUUGAGCACGUGAAAUCCCAUCCACUAGGGGGCAGCACCCACCCCACCCCUCUCUUCAGCUCCCCUAGUGGGUGCCCUGGGCCAGACACUACGGAAAGCGUCGGCCUCUUUUGCACAGGGACGGUUUUAACUCGGGCCCGUUACAGACUCUGCCCCACCCCUCAGGUCCCGAGGCAGGGGAUUACCCCCCCCCCCCGCAUGCUGGGGAGGGUGGAUCCCCGAGCCAGAAGCAGCGAGGGCUAAUGUUCUUGUAUGAGGAGUGUGCGUCGGGGUUUUGUUAGGUCGCCCCCCUGGGGGCUCCCCGGCCGUUUCUUUGCAACGGCUCAUUAGGAUCCGCCUGGAUCCUUUCCCCAGGUUCCGGGCCACAAUCUCUUCCCAGCGCCACCCCGUCACUCCGGCCGCAUCAGUCACCAUCUCGGCCCCCCUCCCCCCCCCCGACCUUGGACGCAGACAUUUUUCCACAUCGAUCCUUGGCCGGCUGGCCCCGCUGCCAGCUCCGAGCCAAGGCCAUGGGGGGUGACGGACCACUUUCGUCUGGCGAGGGUGUCCUGGACUCCCUGGUGGAAGGGGGACCCUGGAGAAGACCAGAAGAACGGCCAGACUGGGUCAGCCCUGUGGUCCAGCCAGCCCGGGGUCCUGUCUUCCGACAGUGGCUGGUGCCAGGCGCUUCAGAGGGAUGAACAGAACCGAGUGAUUAGCGAGUGAUCCAGCUCCUGGCCUCAGGACUUAAUUUGUGAUGAAAGAGGGGCCGGCACUCAAGACAUUUUAUUUUUUUUACUUUCAUAACGGAUGCAGCAAGCCCAGAGGUGCCCAGGCUCUGAACGGCCAGGCCCAGAGGUGCCAGGGCUCUGAACGGCCAGGCCCAGAGGUGCUGGGCUAUGAACGGCCGAGUCCAGAGGUGCCGAGGCUCUGAACGGCCAGGCCCAGAGGUGCCGGGGCUAUGAACUGCCAGGCCCAGAGGUGCCGGGGCUCUGAACGACCAGGCCCAGAGGUGCCAGGGCUAUGAACGACCAGGCUCAGAGGUGCUGGGCUAUGAACGACCAGGCUCAGAGGUGCUGGGCUAUGAACGACCAGACCCAGAGGUCCCGGGGCUAUGAACGGCCAGGCCCAGAGGUGCCGGGGCUCUGAACGGCCGAGCCCAGAGGUCCCGGGGCUCUGAACGGCCAGGCUCAGAGGUGCUGAGCUAUGAACGGCCGAGCCCAGAGGUCCCGGGGCUCUGAACGGCCGAGCCCAGAGGUCCCGGGGCUCUGAACGGCCAGGCUCAGAGGUGCUGGGCUAUGAACGGCCGAGCCCAGAGGUCCCGGGGCUCUGAACGGCCGAGCCCAGAGGUCCCAGGGCUCUGAACGGCCAGGCUCAGAGGUGCUGGGCUAUGAACGGCCAAGCCCUGGCACAAAUUGAGCACUGUCUAUUGUCCAGUGUCCACUUCUGGCAGCCAGAGGCCCAGGGACUGAGUGGGGUGUGGGAUUGAUUUCUGUUUGGGCGGGGGAGGGAUCAGUGUGGUGAGCUCCCCCAGUAAAACCAGAGUGGACUCUGGGUGGAAACCUCCUCCCCCCCCGCCCCCCGUCAGCUGGGUCAUUGGCUGGGACCAAACCUGGGACCUAUGGGUUCAAAAAGCAGGCGCCUCUGCUAAUUAAGCCAAAGGACCAGACUCUAUAGCUCGCUCAGUAGCUAAUCCUGAGCCGCCAUACAAAGUCUGACCACUAGAGGGCAAGAGAGAGACUUUUCACUUGGGGGCACCCCUGGGCAAUAUUUGCAGAGCCCAGGGGUGCGGAGCGCUGGGGGGCAGGAAGGAUCCCCCCUCCCUCCACUGAGAGCAAGGGGCUGUGUAUGGGCAGGCUGCGGGGAGGGGGCCUGGUCCCAGAAGGUAAGAGCAGGUGCUGAGGACUGGGGAAGUUGUGACACGGGUGGGGAAGGAGCCCGUGGGGGUGGGGCGAGACACUGCAAACUCCUGGCAGUGUUUAAAGUUGAUUAUUAUUGUUUUAAUCUUAUUUAAUUCUCCCCUCGAGGGUCGCGUGAUGAGAGGCACAAAGGGUUAAGGAGACAGUAGGGGGCAGAGGCAGGUUCUUGGAGGGGGGGGGCAGAAACAGCCCCUCCCAGUAUGGGGCAGAAGAAUAACAGCCCUCCCCCAGUGUGGGGCGAACAGGCUUCCCAAGGGGCAAUCGGUCCCUCUCCAGCAGGGGGCGCUGUGAGCACCCCGGCCCUGUGGAAGGGCAGAGUUCGAGUAUCGCCGUCCUAGCAUUUCCCCUUGGAGCCGAGGACGCCUGACCCCAAGACGGAGCUCCGUGGUGCCUUGCAUGGUGGCCAGUACCCGGUGGGAAGAGCACGACGCUCGCCCCAUCUCAACAGGGCCUGGCGCUGCCCCCCACCCCACCCCCCCACCGAUGGGCUGGCUGCAGGGCUGGCUGGCAGGCCCGACUCUGCGCCCACAGGGGCUGCCACUUCAAAGGGAAAAAAGAGCUAAUAAAGUUUUCUAAACUUU